AUGGGUAGGGGGUCUGAGAGGAUGAUCCCCCACACUGGUACUGAGACACGGACCAGACUCCUACGGGAGGCAGCAGUGAGGAAUAUUGGUCAAUGGGCGAAAGCCUGAACCAGCCAUGCCGCGUGCAGGAUGACAGUCCUACGGAUUGUAAACUGCUUUUCUGCAAGAAGAAAUGUUCCGACGUGUCGGGAUUUGACGGUAUUGCAGGAAUAAGCAUCGGCUAACUCCGUGCCAGCAGCCGCGGUAAUACGGAGGAUGCAAGCGUUAUCCGGAUUCAUUGGGUUUAAAGGGUGCGUAGGCGGAUUAGAUAGUCAAAGGUGAAAGCCUGCAGCUUAACUGUAGAAGUGCCUUUGAUACUGCUAAUCUUGAGUACAGUUGAGGCGAGUGGAAUGUGUAGUGUAGCGGUGAAAUGCAUAGAUACUACACAGAACACCAAUUGCGAAGGCAGCUCGCUAAGCUGUUACUGACGCUCAGGCACGAAAGCGUGGGGAGCGAACAGGAUUAGAUACCCUGGUAGUCCACGCUGUAAACUAUGAUCACUAGCUGUUGGCGAUAAAUUGUCAGUGGCUCAGCGAAAGCGUUAAGUGAUCCACCUGGGGAGUACGAUCGCAAGGUUGAAACUCAAAGGAAUUGACGGGGGCCCGCACAAGCGGUGGAACAUGUGGUUUAAUUCGAUGAUACGCGAGGAACCUUACCUGGGCUUAAAUGUAGAGCGACGUCUCGAGAAAUCGGGAUUCCCUUCGGGGCGAACUACAAGGUGCUGCAUGGUUGUCGUCAGCUCGUGCCGUGAGGUAUCGGGUUAAGUCCCAUAACGAGCGCAACCCUUAUUGUUAGUUGCCAGCGGAUAAUGCCGGGGACUCUAACAAAACUGCCCGUGUAAACGGGAGGAAGGUGGGGAUGACGUCAAAUCAGCACGGCCCUUAUGUCCAGGGCUACACACGUGUUACAAUGGCUGGAACAAAGGGCAGCUACCACGCAAGUGGAUGCUAAUCUCUAAAUCCAGUCCCAGUUCGGAUCGAAGUCUGCAAUUCGACUUCGUGAAGAUGGAAUCGCUAGUAAUCGCGCAUCAGCAAUGGCGCGGUGAAUAUGUUCCCGGGCAUUGUACACACUGCCCGUCAAGCCAU
rnacentral:rRNA from 1 species